ACUAUAUUACAUAAUGCCGAAACAAUGUGAUUCAUAAAGCACCAUAUGACAUAUAAACUACUAUAACGAAGUUACAUUGUCAAAUAUAUCACUGGUGUAAUUAGGACCGAAGCGAGCUUAAAUAUAAGAAGAUGCUUGCUAAGAAGCCUGGUAAAUAAAGUGGCUAAGUGGAAUGCUAUACUGCAUAUUGAAACAGAGGAAAGCACUAGAGCUAAAUGUGACUGGCAGAUAACGUGAUAAACUGGACCUUCACAUUUGGAGUGGAGGUGUGUACCAGAUAUAACAGUGCAAUUAAUCCUGAACUACACUGAAACAUUAAGAAUAAUAAGAACUUGUUGGACCACUAUACUACUGAAUUAUAAAGAACCCCAGUGGAUGCUAUACUGCUGAAUUUUUAUGUACUCAAGUCCUCAAGUAUUAAAGCGCACAUUAUGCUUAAUAAUCAGCUCCAUAAGAUCUAAUACUGAACUGCUGUAGUUAAAGGAAAGUUGAUUAUCCUUUUUAAAUCGUUUACAAAAAAAAA